AUGCCCUACCGAGGUCACCAGUUAGCAGAAUAUGCCGAAUCAGCCCGCUGCAGACAGGCAAGUCUGUGCACACCCUACCGAGGUCCUGAGUCGCACAGAACAUGCCGAAUCACCCUGCUGCAGACAAGCAGCCACCUGGUUCCACACUACAAAGACGCAGAGGACACCAGACCACCAGACCAAGUUUACAGGGACAGAGGAAGUCAUUUUGUGUGGCUCUGUGGAGGAACCUGCAUUCAUUUGGGGGAAGUGCUAUCGAAUGAGAGUGUCCCCUUUUGCCUUAUGUCUAAGAUGAGCAAAGCCAGAGAACAUAUGCUCAAGGAAGCUUGGUGAAGCCCUGGAGAACAGCCACAAUCCUCUGAGUUUUCCAGUGAAGGAUGAGAGACAGCUUAAAAUGUGAUGUUGGUGCUAUGUGUCAGAAUAAAUCCAAAGAUGUGGGGACUUAGCAUUUGUUUUUGAGAGAUCAAAAAUAAAUGAGUUGCCCUUGGAAGGUGCUGGGGAGAAGCAGGUACA
rnacentral:lncRNA from 1 species